rnacentral:rRNA from 1 species
GGUAGUAACACGUGGAUAACCUACCUAUAAGACUGGGAUAACUUCGGGAAACCGGAGCUAAUACCGGAUAAUAUAUUGAACCGCAUGGUUCAAUGGUGAAAGAACGGUUUUGCUGUCACUUAUAGAUGGAUCCGCGCCGCAUUAGCUAGUUGGUAAGGUAACGGCUUACCAAGGCAACGAUGCGUAGCCGACCUGAGAGGGUGAUCGGCCACACUGGAACUGAGACACGGUCCAGACUCUACGGGAGGCAGCAGCU